rnacentral:rRNA from 1 species
GGGUUGUGAGGUUAAGCGACUAAGCGUACACGGUGGAUGCCCUGGCAGUCAGAGGCGAUGAAGGACGUGCUAAUCUGCGAAAAGCGUCGGUAAGGUGAUAUGAACCGUUACAGCCGGCGAUGUCCGAAUGGGGAAACCCAGUGUGAUUCGUCACACUAUCGUUAACUGAAUACAUAGGUUAACGAGGCGAACCGGGGGAACUGAAACAUCUAAGUACCCCGAGGAAAAGAAAUCAACCGAGAUUCCCCCAGUAGCGGCGAGCGAACGGGGAGCAGCCCAGAGUCUGAAUCAGCUUGUGUGUUAGUGGAACGGUCUGGAAAGUCCGACGGUACAGGGUGAUAGUCCCGUACACCAAAAUGCACAGGCUGUGAACUCGAAGAGUAGGGCGGGACACGUGGUAUCCUGUCUGAAUAUGGGGGGACCAUCCUCCAAGGCUAAAUACUCCUGACUGACCGAUAGUGAACCAGUACCGUGAGGGAAAGGCGAAAAGAACCCCGGCGAGGGGAGUGAAAAAGAACCUGAAACCGUGUACGUACAAGCAGUGGGAGCACCUUCGGGUGUGACUGCGUACCUUUUGUAUAAUGGGUCAGCGACUUAUAUUCUGUAGCAAGGUUAACCGUAUAGGGGAGCCGCAGGGAAACCGAGUCUUAACUGGGCGUUAAGUUGCAGGGUAUAGACCCGAAACCCGGUGAUCUAGCCAUGGGCAGGUUGAAGGUUGGGUAACACUAACUGGAGGACCGAACCGACUAAUGUUGAAAAAUUAGCGGAUGACUUGUGGCUGGGGGUGAAAGGCCAAUCAAACCGGGAGAUAGCUGGUUCUCCCCGAAAGCUAUUUAGGUAGCGCCUCGUGAAUUCAUCUUCGGGGGUAGAGCACUGUUUCGGCUAGGGGGUCAUCCCGACUUACCAACCCGAUGCAAACUACGAAUACCGAAGAAUGUUAUCACGGGAGACACACGGCGGGUGCUAACGUCCGUCGUGAAGAGGGAAACAACCCAGACCGCCAGCUAAGGUCCCAAAGUCAUGGUUAAGUGGGAAACGAUGUGGGAAGGCACAGACAGCCAGGAUGUUGGCUUAGAAGCAGCCAUCAUUUAAAGAAAGCGUAAUAGCUCACUGGUCGAGUCGGCCUGCGCGGAAGAUGUAACGGGGCUAAACCAUGCACCGAAGCUGCGGCAGCGACACUAUGUGUUGUUGGGUAGGGGAGCGUUCUGUAAGCCUGCGAAGGUGUGCUGUGAGGCAUGCUGGAGGUAUCAGAAGUGCGAAUGCUGACAUAAGUAACGAUAAAGCGGGUGAAAAGCCCGCUCGCCGGAAGACCAAGGGUUCCUGUCCAACGUUAAUCGGGGCAGGGUGAGUCGACCCCUAAGGCGAGGCCGAAAGGCGUAGUCGAUGGGAAACAGGUUAAUAUUCCUGUACUUGGUGUUACUGCGAAGGGGGGACGGAGAAGGCUAUGUUAGCCGGGCGACGGUUGUCCCGGUUUAAGCAUGUAGGCUGGUUGUCCAGGCAAAUCCGGAUAAUCAAGGCUGAGGUGUGAUGACGAGGCACUACGGUGCUGAAGUAACAAAUGCCCUGCUUCCAGGAAAAGCCUCUAAGCAUCAGGUAACAUCAAAUCGUACCCCAAACCGACACAGGUGGUCAGGUAGAGAAUACCAAGGCGCUUGAGAGAACUCGGGUGAAGGAACUAGGCAAAAUGGUGCCGUAACUUCGGGAGAAGGCACGCUGGUGUGUAGGUGAAGUCCCUGCGGAUGGAGCUGAGACCAGUCGAAGAUACCAGCUGGCUGCAACUGUUUAUUAAAAACACAGCACUGUGCAAACACGAAAGUGGACGUAUACGGUGUGACGCCUGCCCGGUGCCGGAAGGUUAAUUGAUGGGGUUAUCCGUAAGGAGAAGCUCUUGAUCGAAGCCCCGGUAAACGGCGGCCGUAACUAUAACGGUCCUAAGGUAGCGAAAUUCCUUGUCGGGUAAGUUCCGACCUGCACGAAUGGCGUAAUGAUGGCCAGGCUGUCUCCACCCGAGACUCAGUGAAAUUGAACUCGCUGUGAAGAUGCAGUGUACCCGCGGCAAGACGGAAAGACCCCGUGAACCUUUACUAUAGCUUGACACUGAACAUUGAGCCUUGAUGUGUAGGAUAGGUGGGAGGCUUUGAAGCGUGGACGCCAGUCUGCGUGGAGCCAACCUUGAAAUACCACCCUUUAAUGUUUGAUGUUCUAACGUUGGCCCCUUACCGGGGUUGCGGACAGUGUCUGGUGGGUAGUUUGACUGGGGCGGUCUCCUCCCAAAGCGUAACGGAGGAGCACGAAGGUUAGCUAAUCCUGGUCGGACAUCAGGAGGUUAGUGCAAUGGCAUAAGCUAGCUUGACUGCGAGCGUGACGGCGCGAGCAGGUGCGAAAGCAGGUCAUAGUGAUCCGGUGGUUCUGAAUGGAAGGGCCAUCGCUCAACGGAUAAAAGGUACUCCGGGGAUAACAGGCUGAUACCGCCCAAGAGUUCAUAUCGACGGCGGUGUUUGGCACCUCGAUGUCGGCUCAUCACAUCCUGGGGCUGAAGUAGGUCCCAAGGGUAUGGCUGUUCGCCAUUUAAAGUGGUACGCGAGCUGGGUUUAGAACGUCGUGAGACAGUUCGGUCCCUAUCUGCCGUGGGCGCUGGAGAAUUGAGGGGGGCUGCUCCUAGUACGAGAGGACCGGAGUGGACGCAUCACUGGUGUUCGGGUUGUCAUGCCAAUGGCACUGCCCGGUAGCUAAAUGCGGAAGAGAUAAGUGCUGAAAGCAUCUAAGCACGAAACUUGCCCCGAGAUGAGUUCUCCCUGAGACUUUAAGUCUCCUGAAGGAACGUUAAAGACGAUGACGUUGAUAGGCCGGGUGUGUAAGCGCAGCGAUGCGUUGAGCUAACCGGUACUAAUGAACCGUGAGGCUUAACCUUACAACGCCGAAG